rnacentral:rRNA from 1 species
AAUAAAGGGGUUCUUAGAUCGUACCCACGUUACUUGGAUAACUGUGGUAAUUCUAGAGCUAAUACAUGCCGACAGAGUUCCGACCAGCUGUUCGGAUGUGCGACGGCCUCGCGUCGUUCGUCGCCGUUCGGUUCGGAAGGAACGCUUUUAUUAGAUCAAAACCGGCUAAACGGCGGUUUCGCUCUUGCAGCGUUUACCGUCGUAAGCGGCCCGCGCAAAGAUUUGGUGACUCUGAAUAACUUCGAGCUGAUCGCACGGUCUUCGUACCGGCGACGUAUCUUUCAAAUGUCUGCCUUAUCAACUGUCGACGGUAGGUUCGACGCCUACCGUGGUGGUAACGGGUAACGGGGAAUCAGGGUUCGAUUCCGGAGAGGGAGCCUGAGAAACGGCUACCACAUCUAAGGAAGGCAGCAGGCGCGCAAAUUACCCACUCCCAGCUCGGGGAGGUAGUGACGAAAAAUAACGAUACGGGACUCAUUCGAGGCCCCGUAAUCGGAAUGAGUACACUACA